CAUCGGUGCUAGCGGUGAUGAGAUACGACCAGUAUUAAUGAAGGGAGAUCAACGAGAAUGCUUCCCUUAAUAAAUAGUGCAAAAAAUAAACAAAAUAAUAAAGAAAAAAAUACCCGAUGCGAGUGGUGUGUCUGCCCUCCACCAGGCGGCGCGAUCCCCUUCCCGACUUUUUUCCUUCUCUUUCCCUCUCCUCCUCGCUCAUCCUCCUCCGCUUUCCUUUGUUCCCAGAGGCCGGCCCCAGUGUGGUUUCCGUUGUGCUUGGGAGCAGUCGCGUAGUCGCCAGUGUCCAGCUCCUUCUUUGUUCUUUGUUCCGAAAUCGGUCUUCUUCUUCUUCGGACCCCGAACGUCGCCUCACGCUUCCUGCCUUCGUCAAAGGGCCUCCUUUCGUUCGACACAUUGGGGGGAAACACGGAAUUCGGCGGCGCCGAGCUAGGAAGCCGGCCUCUACGAACUCAAACGUUUCAUCACUCUCUGACGCACGGAAGAAAAGAAAAAAAGAUAUGUGUAUGGCGUAAGAACGUUCGGUGCAUCUUUAAUGUAGGGCGCUAAAGAUUGUCUUUUUGUGCAGCGCAAGAGCGAGUUGCACGGCUGGCCCUCCGUUUCAAGUGACCUCCUUCAGCUGCGGAUGACCUGUGCUUAAUCAAGACCGCUUGAAUGGCAACUGAGAACUUGCUCCAAGCAAAAAGUGUUUUUAUGAAAUCGUGUUAGCUCGUGCGAAUUCACUGAAUAGGAACAAGUGUGUUUUCAUCGAGACAGCUCGUCCGGAAACUUGCAUUGUCGGCCUAAUAAAGUUUGACGUCAAGCCUAAUAAAACGUGAGGUUAAAACGGAGAAA